rnacentral:rRNA from 1 species
UCGUUUACCUUGACAAAAACACUAGUUCCCGUCCGACCACUGCAGUCAAGCGUCUAAGGCCUCGCUGGUACUAUAAUAGAAAUAACAUGGGAAUCUGUGGAGCUGUAAACU